rnacentral:rRNA from 1 species
UACAGAGGGUGCGAGCGUUAAUCGGAAUUACUGGGCGUAAAGCGCGCGUAGGCGGCUUUGCAAGUCGGGUGUGAAAUCCCCAGGCUUAACCUGGGAACUGCAUUCGAGACUGCAUUGCUAGAGUAUGGGAGAGGGAAGUGGAAUUUCCGGUGUAGUGGUGAAAUGCGUAGAUAUCGGAAGGAACAUCAGUGGCGAAAGCGACUUCCUGGACCAGUACCGACGUUCAGGCACGAAGGCGUGGGGAGCAAACAGG